rnacentral:rRNA from 1 species
UACGUAGGGUGCAAGCGUUAAUCGGAAUUACUGGGCGUAAGGCGUGCGCAGGCGGUUUUGUAAGUCAGAUGUGAAAGCCCCGGGCUCAACCCGGGGACUGCGUCCGAUACUGGCAGGCUUGAAUCCGGGAGAGGGAUGUGGAAUUCCAGGUGUAGCGGUGAAAUGCGUAGAUAUCUGGAGGAACACCGGUGGCGAAGGCGGCAUCCUGGACCGGUAUUGACGCUGAGGCGCGAAAGCCAGGGGAGCAAACGGG